GAUGAACGCUGGCGGCGUGCCUAAUACGUGCAAGUCGAGCGAACAGACGAGGAGCUUGCUCCUCCGACGUUAGCGGCGGACGGGUGAGUAACACGUGGAUAACCUACCUAUAAGACUGGGAUAACUUCGGGAAACCGGAGCUAAUACCGGAUAAUAUAUUGAACCGCAUGGUUCAAUAGUGAAAGACGGUUUUGCUGUCACUUAUAGAUGGAUCCGCGCCGCAUUAGCUAGUUGGUAAGGUAACGGCUUACCAAGGCAACGAUGCGUAGCCGACCUGAGAGGGUGAUCGGCCACACUGGAACUGAGACACGGUCCAGACUCCUACGGGAGGCAGCAGUAGGGAAUCUUCCGCAAUGGGCGAAAGCCUGACGGAGCAACGCCGCGUGAGUGAUGAAGGUCUUCGGAUCGUAAAACUCUGUUAUUAGGGAAGAACAAAUGUGUAAGUAACUAUGCACGUCUUGACGGUACCUAAUCAGAAAGCCACGGCUAACUACGUG
rnacentral:rRNA from 1 species